rnacentral:rRNA from 1 species
AGUUCAAGCGAACAAGAGCGUAAGGUGAAUGCCUUGGCAUCAGGAGCCGAAGAAGGACGCGACAAGCUGCGAUAAGCUGCGGGGAGCUGCAAAUAAGCAUUGAUCCGCAGAUUUCCGAAUGUGGAAACACACACGGUGAAGAACCGUGUAGCGUAAACUGAAUACAUAGGUUUACGCGGGGAACCCCGGGAACUGAAACAUCUAAGUACCGGGAGGAAGAGAAAUCAACCGAGAUUCCGCGAGUAGUGGCGAGCGAAAGCGGAGGAGGCUAAACCGACAGUAGAAAUACGGUCGGGGUUCGGACUGUUGUAAGCGAGCGGAAGUUAGUCGAAUGGCAUGGGAAGGCCAGCCGGAGGGAGUGAAAGCCUCGUAGGCGAAAACGGAAGCGAGUGAACAGGAUCCAGAGUAUCAGCGGACACGAGAAAUCCGGUGAGAACGUGGGGGGACCACCCUCUAAGCCUAAAUACUACCUGAUGACCGAUAGUGGAGCAGUACUGUGAAGGAAAGGUGAAAAGAACCCCGGGAGGGGAGUGAAAGAGAACCUGAAACCUUAUGCUUACAAGCACACAGAGCCCCGUAUGCGGGUGAUGUGGUACUUUUUGUAGAACGGUCCGGCGAGUUAUGGUAUGCAGCGAGGUUAAGUGAUUCAGUCACGGAGCCGCAGGGAAACCGAGUGUGAACAGCACGUAGAGUUGCAUGUCAUAGACCCGAAACCGGGUGACCUAUCCAUGAGCAGGUUGAAGUCAGGGUAAAGCCUGAUGGAGGACCGAACCGACCCCCGUUGAAAAGUUGGCGGAUGACUUGUGGAUAGCGGAGAAAUUCCAAUCGAACCCGGAUAUAGCUGGUUCUCCCCGAAA